GAUGAACGCUGGCGGCGUGCCUAACACAUGCAAGUCGAACGGAGCUUAUUUUUUGGAGACUUCGGUCAAAGAAGCUUAAGCUUAGUGGCGGACGGGUGAGUAACGCGUGGAGAACCUGCCCUGUACUGGGGGAUAACAGUGAGAAAUCACUGCUAAUACCGCAUAAGCGCACGGAGCCGCAUGGCCCAGUGUGAAAAACUCCGGUGGUACAGGAUGGCUCCGCGUUGGAUUAGCCAGUUGGCGGGGUAACGGCCCACCAAAGCGACGAUCCAUAGCCGGCCUGAGAGGGUGAACGGCCACAUUGGGACUGAGACACGGCCCAGACUCC
rnacentral:rRNA from 1 species